UACAGAGGGUGCUAGCGUUGUUCGGAAUCAUUGGGCGUAAAGCGCGUGUAGGCGGCGUGACAAGUCGGGUGUGAAAGCCCUCAGCUCAACUGAGGAAGUGCGCCCGAAACUGUCGUGCUUGAGUGCCGGAGAGGGUGGCGGAAUUCCCCAAGUAGAGGUGAAAUUCGUAGAUAUGGGGAGGAACACCGGUGGCGAAGGCGGCCACCUGGACGGUAACUGACGCUGAGACGCGAAAGCGUGGGGAGCAAACAGG
rnacentral:rRNA from 1 species